CCCUCGGGAAGAGUCCGGGCUGGGGGUAAGGAGAGUGGAUCGCGUGUUGGAUUCCGCGAGGACGAUUGGGGAGAGCUGAGGCAGUUGGGCCUGUUGGGCCGCGAGAAGAGACGGGUGAGAGGGCACCUCUAAGUAGGGACUUUGAUGGAAAGCCAAACUGUCAUUUCACAGGGAAGCUGAGAUCUGCUGUGGCCCCACUGGCAUAUUUGGGGGAACCUAUGUGAAACAACUCAGGAAGCUUAAAGGAAGUGAAAGGGAGAGGUGCAUCAGUGGAAAACAUUCCCUGCUGAACACACGGAGGGAUGUGAUGUGCACAGCACAAUUAGCAGGAGCAGCACAGAAAGACUACAAUCAAAACACUGUCAUUCAGGAAAUCCAUCAUCUGUAGGAAGCUUGGGAAAAACAUUCAGGCAGACACACCAAGGAAGGGAAGAAUGGCUGUACCUGACUGCUGAGCUGCUUUUGUAUUGGUUUCAUUCUUGGACUUCUUCUGUACCGGUGCCUGACUCAUCAGCUUCCAUCGAUUGCUGAUCUGCAAUGAAAAAGUAUUAUCUGCAAACACUUUCUUUAAGGUUUUGUAUCAAGAAGUUGUUUAUAAACUUGCCAAGACAUGCUGAUCUUUAUUAAGAGUACAAAAGAUCAAAUUUGACUGUAAAAGAGAUUAAUAUCUGCUGUAUGUUAAGUAAAACUAAAUGCUUUAAAAUUUCAAAGCUACAAACAAGCCUUAAAAAUAAAUGCAGAUACUUCA